rnacentral:rRNA from 1 species
UACGUAGGGUGCAAGCGUUGUCCGGAAUCAUUGGGCGUAAAGCGCGCGUAGGUGGCCAUUUAAGUCCGCUGUGAAAGUCAAAGGCUCAACCUUUGAAAGCCGGUGGAUACUGCAGGGCUAGAGUCCGGAAGAGGCGAGUGGAAUUCCUGGUGUAGCGGUGAAAUGCGCAGAUAUCAGGAAGAACACCCGUGGCGAAGGCGGCUCUCUGGGACGGUACUGACGCUGAGACGCGAAAGCGUGGGGAGCGAACAGG